CCUACGGGAGGCAGCAGUAGGGGAUAUUGCUCAAUGGGGGAAACCCUGAAGCAGCAACGCCGCGUGGAUGAUGGAGGUUUUCGGCUUGUAAACUCCUUUUGUUAGGGAAGAUACUGACGGUAUCUAACGAAUAAACACCGGCUAACUCCGUGCCAGCAGCCCCGGUAAUACGGAGGGUGCAAGCGUUACUCGGAAUCACUGGGCGUAAAGAGCGCGUAGGCGGGAUAGCAAGUCAGAUGUGAAAUCCUAGGGCUUAACCAUAGAACUGCAUUUGAAACUGUUAUUCUAGAGUAUGGGAGAGGUAGGUGGAAUUCCUGGUGUAGGGGUAAAAUCCGUAGAGAUCAAGAGGAAGACUCACGGCGAAGGCGACCUGCUAGAACAUAACUGACGCUGAUGCGCGAAAGCGUGGGGAGCAAACAGGAUUAGAUACCCUUGUAGUC
rnacentral:rRNA from 1 species